rnacentral:rRNA from 1 species
AAGAUGGCGACCGGCGCACGGGUGAGUAACACGUAUCCAACCUGCCGAUAACUCCGGAAUAGCCUUUCGAAAGAAAGAUUAAUACCGGAUAGCAUACGAAUAUCGCAUGAUAUUUUUAUUAAAGAAUUUCGGUUAUCGAUGGGGAUGCGUUCCAUUAGGCAGUUGGUGGGGUAACGGCCCACCAAACCUUCGAUGGAUAGGGGUUCUGAGAGGAAGGUCCCCCACAUUGGAACUGAGACACGGUCCAA